CUUCCUACGGGGGGCAGCAGUGGGGGAUAUUGCACAAUGGGGGAAACCCUGAUGCAGCGACGCCGCGUGAGUGAAGAAGUAUUUCGGUAUGUAAAGCUCUAUCAGCAGGGAAGAAAAUGACAGUACCUGACCAAGAAGCCCCGGCUAACUACGUGCCAGCAGCCGCGGUAAUACGUAGGGGGCAAGCGUUAUCCGGAUUUAUUGGGUUUAAAGGGUGCGCAGGCGGAGGUGCAAGUCAGUGGUCAAAUUGCGGGGCUCAACCCCGUACUGCCGUUGAAACUGCAUCCCUUGAGUGCGCGAGAAGU
rnacentral:rRNA from 1 species